AAGACAAUGAAGAAGAUGAAGAUAAAUAAUAAAAGACGAAGAAGGCAGGAACCACCCGGAAUAAUCUAAAGCAGUGGUCACAUACCUUUUCUGAGUCAAAAUGCAAGCCGAGAUCUACCGUUUUUACAUGAUUUAAAAACAUAAGCCUAGGCAACAUUAACCUGUAAAAAGCGGUACUCUAGUAAUGAGGUUUGUGCAGUAGGCUAUAAGCACAAUAUAUUAUCACUGCAUAUUGGCUUUGCUUCUCAGACCAUUUUUGACAAUUAUAUUUCAACAUUUGAGGUAGGCUAUAUGAUCACACCAUUAAUAGACCAGUUGUUGUAUUAUUGUGAGGCACAGCUGAAUGAGCAUACAUUUAAAUAAUUCACUUUUUCUUAUUUUACUAGGCAUCUGAUGGUCAGUCUCAGCGGAGGGAGAGAGCAGCAGACUGAGGGGCCUCCGCUGACUCCGACCAAAAAGGGACACAGUCUUCAAAUCAAAUGUUAUUUGUCACACGCGCCGAAUACAACAACCUUACAGUGAAAUUCUUACUUACAAGCAACAAUGCAGUUCAAGAAAUAGAGUUAAGAAAAUAUGUACUAAACAAACUAAAGUUAAAAAAAAUAUUAAAAUCAAAAAGUAACAAGAAAAUUGCACAUCAGAGAGGCUAUAUACAGGGGACACCGGUACCUUGUCAAUAUGCGGGGGUACAGGUUAGUUGAGGUAAUUUGUAAAGUGACUAUGUAUAGAUAAUAAACAGCGAGUAGCAGCAGUGUAAAAAAAAAAGGGGGGGGGGGGGGUCAAUGUAUAGUCCCGGUGGCAAUUAGAUUCAUUGUUCAGCAGUCUUAUGGCUUGGAGGUAGAAGCUGUUAAGGAGCCUUUUGGUCCUAGGCUAUGACUUGGGUGAAUGGAGUCUUUGACAAUUUUUUGGGCCUUCCUCUGACACCGCCUGGUAUAUAGGUCCUGGAUGGCAGGAAGCUUGGCCCCAGGGAUGUACUAGGCCGUGCGCACUACCCUCUGACACCGCCUGGUAUAUAGGUCCUGGAUGGCAGGAAGCUUGUCCCCAGUGACGUACUAGACCGUGCGCACUACCCUCUGUCCCCCAUUUGCUGUAGCUUUCUUUUAUGCCUGCUAUGUUACUGAAGCCAGUCCUCUGAUUGGUAGGCCUAUAGUGCACAUGAAAAAUAGGAACGCAAGGCUUAUUGGUGGGUUUUUCACAGAAUAUUUGGCGAUCGACUAGGAAUGCCUUGGAGAUCGACCUGUUGAUAACCACUGAUCUAAAGAAAGCGUUCCAAACAGGGUUUCGAUGUAGAAGCGCUGUAAAGCCACUUUACUUCACUACAAACUAAAAGGGAAGUCAAGGAAGUCAAAAGAUCCUACUGGGGGAUCGAUGCCAGUGUCAACUCUAGACGUCACAUGACCAAAAUAACAUCCCCACAGUGUGUGACGCCUCAGAUCCCGCAGAGCUAUGUGCACACGAACUGGCCAAGACAAAGACUUGUGGAAUAACAAAAAGCUAAAUGGGCAAUGAAAGAUGCUGUCCACAAAAGAAAAAGACAUUUAGGUGUCGUGAAAAAAACACUUGCCCUCUUUGCUUACACAUGGGCAGCACUAUUGGUUUUGGAGUUGGGCGGCUAUGGAUGGCCAGGCCAAGGGUUUCUAUGUCCUGGAAUGAGAGAGUGGCUCCAAGAAUAAGAAGGCACAUCACUAGCUGCUGGGCAAGGGUCUUCUGAGGUCUGCCUUGUCACAUUGUGAUCCACAGACAUCAAUCGAGUGCCAACAUAAAACAUCUCUUUGUUCGGCCCUGUAGAACAGUUGUGCUACACACACAUUUUCCCCCUGAAACGGACUAUAAAUGUAUUUUGCUUCUCCUUCCAGAUGAAGGGGGUUUGCCAACAUAAAGACCAAAGAGUAACAAUCAUGUUUUCUCUGUGAUUUGAAGGAGCUCCAUUGACAGUUUUGAUAGGGGCGGAAGACUAAUUUUAGAGGGGUUUUGAGGAAGAUGGAUUUCCCCUUAUGGUCAUGUCGUCCUAUCAACUGAGCCAGCCUGAACAAGGAGGACUAGACUGUGGGUCUUCAAGCUGUAACCUUCAUGCUGUGCUGUUGAGACCGCCUGAGAAAACCCAAAGAUACUUCAGAAACCAUGAAAAUCUCCUUAAGUUCACCGGCCCCACUCAGUCCUUGAAGACUGCAGGAGGCCAUUUGAGGUAGCAAGGUUGUCUCCCCUUAGUCCUUUCCAACGUGCUGUGCAGAGAUUUGAACGUUUGAGCAUCUGUGGCUUACUCUGCGAAGUCUGUUUUAGCGUUAAAGUGGUCUAUUAGUUACCGAAUGACAGGGAUUUUGUGCAUUCUUGCCAAUACAGACCCCUGCCAACAUUAGUUUACUGUGAACGCUUCAUUCGACGGCCACCACCAUAUCUAAAGCAUCAUCAGACACAUGCCAAUCACCCAACGGAGUGCUGUGUACAUUGCAGAAUGCACGUUGGGGGCCUCCUGGUUUUCCAAUGCAAAAGGUUUGCUAACAUGCAUCGUUGACCCCAAAUUGCCAGAAAACAACUACAAAUCUGUCAGCACCUCCGCCAUGGCUGGUUGGCGAGGACAAGGAGGGUGGAGAAGUAUCUAAAUGGUCUUCCAUAAUAUUUGUGCUGAAUGAGGCAGUUUUCUCUGAGACAGGACCACUUUGAGCUUUGAGGAUCUAUAUUCACAGAAUGGAAACACACAAGCACUGAAGUUAGCACUGAAUAUGAAUAUGAGGUACGCAUAUACGCAAACAAACUCACCAUGACAAACACUGGAAAAGGUUGGCCCGCCCAUUAGCCUACAAAGGAUUCAUUCCAUGCUUUGUCGGCGACUCAGCGCACAAACCUCCAUGCCAAAUAGCAACUUGACAUUCCAGUCCAUAUGAAGCAAACCAAACAGUGGGUUAAGAAGCCAUGAAGUGCAGCAUUAGUGUACACAGCCAUAAGUCAAGAGAUCUAACCAAGAUAAAAAUGGACAGGAGUCCUGAUUAAAAGGCAGGGAAAGCCUGGGACAACUGUUUACCUGACCUUUCAACUCCUCCUAAACUCAGGCUGAUUGUGCAACAUUGUGCUCUGCGUCUUGGUUAUUUACAAUGGCGAUAUAUUGAGGUGGAUUAAAUUGUUGCCUGCUGUUAAAAUACAUUGGAUUUGUUGAUGCUGGUGGGUGGACUGUUUAGUGAACACUCCAAUUAAACACAAUCAGGCUAUUUCAGAAUGAUGGGAAUUUACCAAGGCAGGCUGUAUUAUAAACACUAUCCAGGUGAUUGGGAGUGACACAUUUAAUGAUUAGUAAUUACUGGAGGAAAUUACCAUAAUGGAGAUGCAACACAUGGUUAAGCCAUGGCUAAGUUGUUCUGUUUACUCUGGGUUGUCCCUAUCAUAAAGUGUCUCAGAGUAGGAGUGCAGAUCUAGGUUCAGUUUUUUGCCUUUUAGAUCAUAAUGAAUAUGAUUGUAUGGACAGGGCGGGACCUGAUCCAAGAUCAGCACUGCUACUCUGAGAUGCUUUGUGAAUACGGGGCCAGGUCUCAGACUCUCAGUAGCCGGUUGGCUGAAGUCAGGUUGGAAGAGUUUGAUUAUACAUGGGGAUACGGCGGAAGGUGAAGGUGUGCUCCACUUUCUUGCCCGGCCUCUCUGCCUUUGUGUCGGUGUGUUUGUUCACCAUGAGGCCAAGUGUUUGAGCUCCAUCCGUUAGGCCAAGACACCUUAAUCAUGGCACCCAUAGUCAGUGAGAUCUAGGCCCAUCCCGCCGCUGAAGGGAGCCUGGGCUCGUCCCAUGGGUGUGGCCUUCUCUCCUGUUGAGUCAUGCAUCACACAACAUCAACCCCCCUUCAUGGAGACACACACACACACACACACACACACACACACACACACACACACACACACACACACACACACACACACACACACACACCAUAACCCCCCUCCACACUCACAUCACACAAUACAUGCACACGACAAUAUAUGCACACAAUACACAUAUCCAACACACACCAGCCCCCACCUAUCUCCCGACCAGCCCUCCACCGUUGGCCAUUUAUCAACACCUGAAUCCCCACUCACAGUUCGGCGUCUUUAGGCCUGAUGACUCACGCUAGAGAGUCCAUGGUGCAUGUCAUACAGGUAGUUCUCACACCACUCACUUUCUCUUUCCGGAAAUGUUUGUCAUCAUCACUCAAUGAAGCUUGGCUAUUCGAAAGGAUUUCUCCAAUGACAGAGAUGGAGGAGGAGCAUCAUCACUGGACAAUAAACGGCCCAACUCACCUCCCCCUCCCAUCUAGAUAGUCACCGGAGACACUUCCCAAAUCUUCAAGACUUUUGUAAUGGAAUAUUUUGACAGCAUGCAAUGCUUAAUUACUUUGCUGGAGUUGCAGAGUGUCAAACCUGCACCGACUUGCUGUGAUAGAAAGACGUAAUUCAUUCAAUAAGAAGGGGGGCAUGACUUUGCUUCAAAGUGCGAGGACAAGAAUAUACUUCUCUGUUCUGUUCCUCUUCAAUGGAAACCAAUGGCCCUUAGCCGUCUUACCACUGCCAUUACUGCUGUGUCUAAGGACAGACUUCUACAGUGCCUCGGAGCCUAGUAGAAGCACAGUGUCUGUCCUGUGAUAGCUGUAUGAGAUUCCACAUGCUCUGAGUAAUUCCUCCCUCCCUCCCCCCUCCUCCCUCACUCCUUGUGCGGUGCGUGGCCCUGAGUCAUCAGCCCAGCCAGGCCCCCACACUUUCCUUCCCAGCCCCUCUCUGGCUGUGGCGAGGAGGACAGCGGAUUCACCGACCAACCGAAGAUUCACGAUCCUCCCAGAUGAAACUCACCGAAUAGCCUCCGAAGGCGAUGACUCACCCCCACGGAAGAGUACUCCUCUCCGUCUCCUCCAGCCAGCCUCCCCCUCUCAGACAGUUCUCCAACUCCACCACACCCCAACCCGGAUCAGAUCAGAAUCCUCCGCCCGUCUCUCUGUCUGGCCCUUGGCGCAAUGUCAAGAAACUGAAGGACAUAUAGCUCACUUGUCUGCAUGUUAAACAAUGGAGACUGGGGAGAUAAUGUCAUCCUAAGGCCAGCCUGCAGGGUACUUAGCUAUCAUUAGUGAGGAUGAAGAUGUCUAUAGUUCUGUCUGGGCAAGGUGUGCUGUGAUCUUGAAUCAUCCCACUCAUCUAAAGUAUCGUGAUGCUGUACGUAGCACCUUGAACGAGCCGCGAACUUUGGAUAAGAACGUCUGUUGCAUCUACCGAGAUUUGUUUGACUAAUUCAUUGACGACGGCCGUAAUGUCGAAAUGCAUCAGUUGGGAAUAACAAAUAAGCAUUUUCUAUUCAAUUUUCAAUGCCCUCCAACUUGUUCCAAGACUGUCUGAACAUCUUUGAGGGACUUGACAAUGUGACCAAUGGAUUUACAUUUACAUUUUUUUUUACAUUUUAGUCAUUUAGCAGAUGCUCUUACCCAGAGCAACUUACAGUAGUGAAUGCAUACAUACAUACAUUUCAUCUCAUACAUUUUUCGUUUUUUUCUCUGUACUGGCCCCCCGUGGGAAUCGAACCCACAACCCUGGCAUUGCAAACACCAUGCUCUACCAACUGAGCCACAGGGAGCCAUCAUAGAGCUUGUAAUAUGUCCGUAUGAGUGCGUCGCUCAUAACAUAGAGACUUGUUCUUAUAGGAGAUUCU
rnacentral:tRNA from 1 species